rnacentral:rRNA from 1 species
CCUACGGGAGGCUGCAGUGGGGAAUAUUGGACAAUGGGCGAAAGCCUGAUCCAGCCAUGCCGCGUGUGUGAAGAAGGCCUUCGGGUUGUAAAGCACUUUCAGUGGGGAAGAAAGCCUUGGGGCUAAUACCCUCGAGGAAGGACAUCACCCACAGAAGAAGCACCGGCUAACUCCGUGCCAGCAGCCGCGGUAAUACGGAGGGUGCGAGCGUUAAUCGGAAUUACUGGGCGUAAAGCGCGCGUAGGCGGUCUGAUAAGCCGGUUGUGAAAGCCCCGGGCUCAACCUGGGAACGGCAUCCGGAACUGUCAGGCUAGAGUGCAGGAGGGGAAGGUAGAAUUCCCGGUGUAGCGGUGAAAUGCGUAGAGAUCGGGAGGAAUACCAGUGGCGAAGGCGGCCUUCUGGACUGACACUGACGCUGAGGUGCGAAAGCGUGGGUAGCAAACAGGAUUAGAUACCCCAGUAGUC